GGGGGGGGGGGGGGGGGGGGGGGGGGGGGGGGGGUGGGGGGAGGGGAGGAGGGGCUGGGUGCUGUGAGGGUAGGGGCGGACGUGGGGGUGCGACGUGGAUGAGCUCCGUCUACUCCUGGGGGACCUUCGGGGCCCCGUCGCUAAUACCGGAUGAUCUAUUGGAGCGCCUGGUUCCGGCGGGAAAGACGGUCUUGCUGUCCCUUUUCGCUGGAUCCGCGCUGCAUUAGCUAGUUGGAAAGGUAACGGCUUACCACGGCAACGAUGCAUAGCCGACCUGCGAGGGUGAGCGGACACACUGGAACUGAGACACGGUCCAGACUCCUAGGGGAGGCAGCAGUAGGGAAUCUGCCGCAAUGGGCGAAAGCCUGACGGAGCAACGCCGCGUGAGUGAUGAAGGUCUUCGGAGCGUAAAACUCUGUUAUUAGGGAAGAACAUAUGUGUAAGUAACUGUGCACAUCUUGACGGUACCUAAUCAGAAAGCCACGGCUAACUACGUG
rnacentral:rRNA from 1 species